CUGCUGGAGAUCCCUGCCUACCUGAGCCCUUCCAAAGGUAAGUUAGCUUGCAGAGCUGGGGUUGGGAAACCACGAUGAGUUCAUCCCACUUGCUGUGCUCGGUGCAUGAAAUGGCACAUCUGGAGGGCAAAUCUCUGCUCCCGAAUCCAAGCUCCAACCGCCACCAACCUGACUAUCCAUGUGCUGCUCCCUGCGCGCACCGUGGCUGCUGCAAUCUGGUGGCUGCUGCUUUAAUGAGGACUGGAGCUGUGCUUUCGGGGCCCGUGUGGCAAUUGUGCUGACUCCUCCUGAUGCUUUUGGAAGCACUGCUUGCCUUCUGUCGUUGCCAUGGUUUGGGAGUGCUUUCAUUUGAUGCUUGAUCCCCGGGAGAGCAUCCCUGUGGUGCAGCCGCGUGGUGCCCGAGGCGGAGGUGGGGAUCCCGCGGUGCCCAUCUGUCCCCCAGCCCUCACCCAUGGGUGCG
ensembl:lncRNA